UGAGGAAUAUUGGGCAAUGCCCGCAAGGGUGACCCAGCAACGCCGCGUGGAGGAUGAAUGUCGUAAGAUUGUAAACUCCUGUUAGAGGGGAAGAAUAGUACCGGUUGGACCGGUAUAUGACUGUACCCUCAGAGAAAGCCCCGGCUAACUACGUGCCAGCAGCCGCGGUAAUACGUAGGGGGCAAGCGUUGUCCGGAUUUACUGGGUGUAAAGGGCGCGCAGGCGGGAUAAAAAGUCAGUGGUGAAAUCCUACAGCUUAACUGUAGAACUGCCUUUGAUACUUUUAUUCUUGAGUUCGGGAGAGAGAGACGGAAUUCCAGGUGUAGUGGUGAAAUACGUAGAUAUCAGGAGGAACACCGGUGGCGAAGGCGGCCUUCUGGACGGCUACUGACGCUGAGACGCGAAAGCGUGGGGAGCAAACA
rnacentral:rRNA from 1 species